rnacentral:hammerhead_ribozyme from 1 species
CCACUGCUGAAGAGUUGCACAAUAAGACGAAAAAGCCUUCCAGUGC